UCACCAAAGGAGCAGCACGACGCAGCCCCUGGAGGCCGUGGUCUAAAGGAGAGCAUUUCUCGGGCUCUUAACACGUCUUUCAAAGAAGAAAGAAGAAGGAGACAUUCAGACAUUGACGUCAUCAUACCUGCGUCACACUGUCCCCAAACACUUGCUCCGAUGAGACUCUUCCCCAGGCGUGCUCCAUGUCACAUACGUUGAGAGGAAGGAUCGGGAAAAAGCCUUCUGAGGUCAAAAACUCUGAGGGGGCCUCCUAUGCUAACUCUCUUCUGGAAAGUGGCUUCAGCAAAACAACGUGGUCGCUGCCAACUUACAUUCGGGAGAACCCGUCACCGAACGGAGCAGGGCUGCCUCACCGACAUCCACCGAGCGGAGAAUCUCCG